GAUGAAGAACGUAGCGAAAUGCGAUAAGUAGUGUGAAUUGCAGAAUUCAGUGAAUCAUCGAAUCUUUGAACGCACAUUGCGCCCUUUGGUAUUCCUUAGGGCAUGCCUGUUCGAGCGUCAUUUAAACCUUCAAGCUAAGCUUGGUGUUGGGUGACUGUCCGCUUCACUGCGGACUCGCCUCAAAAUUAUUGGCGGCCGGUACAUUGGCUUCGAGCGCAGCAGAAACGCGAACUCGGGCCCGUCGUAUUGGCUCCCAGAAGCUAUCUUCACAAUUUUGACCUCGGAUCAGGUGGGGAUACCCGCUGAACUUAAGCAUAUCAAUAAGCAGAGGA
rnacentral:misc_RNA from 1 species